GCCUUUGUGGUGUAGUGGUCAGCCCACUCGACGCGUAACCGAGAAGGUCCGUGGUUCGAUUCCCGGCGAAGGCG
rnacentral:tRNA from 1 species